CUGUCUCUUUGUCUCCAUGGACACACAGCAUAUCCCAAUGGGGAUUCGAUGUAUUUCCAUAUCCCCAUUGGCAGAAUCCUGUAUCCCCAUACGUCAUAUGGUAAAGGCACAUCUCAACAGGUCUAUGAGAGAAGAGGUAUCCAGUUUAACGGUGACCGUUAAAGUAAACGCUUUGACAUUCGAAAGUGGACGUAGCGAAAGAUGCUUUUGCAAUUCCGUCAAAUCCCACCUUGACCUCAAAAUACGACUAACUGCCUUGUCGAGAAAGAGAACAGUACAGUGAGGUCUGAAGGGUAAAAGUGGGAGCUCAUUGGGAUGGGCAGAACAGGCCUGUAACUCUACAGUCUCACCCUCUCUCUGUAACAGCUUAGCGUCCACAGUGGAUGCCGCCGGCCUAUAUACACACACACACACACACACACACAAUGACAGUAUCAUAUCCUGUAGACAGUGGUCAUACGUCAGUCCACUAAUCAGGCUGGAUUAGUUUAGUGAUGCUCCAGCGCUACGCUAGCAAUAACCAUAGCCCCUACUGUAGCCUCUUUGAUCCAGACCCAUUGUCCCUGGCCCUGACCCGGCAUGUGAACUGUGUUUUACCCCUACGUAGGCAAGCUCCCUAACCAGGGACACUUGUGUCCCUCUGACUCCCCGAACAGAGAUUGGGGAUAGGAGAGAACAGGUGGAUGAGGGGUGGAGAGAGGAGGUGGGGGGCUAGCUAGCCAAAAUAAGGCAGGGGCGACAGCUGUACCUCCCACAGGGUCUUGUGAUAACACGAGAAUGCUCUGUGCCUGCCUGCUGGGCGUGUUAGUGCUGUGUGUCAGUGUGUUCUGGAGCUUUCUCUCUCUGUCUGUACUCUACCGCUCAGACAACUCCUAUGUGUGUGUGUGAGAGUGACCGUAGCUCAAGCUGUAUGCCCUCUCUCGCGCUCUCUCUCUCUCUCUCUCUCUGGCUGAAGAAGCAGUGACCAGGGUCAAACUCUCCUUUUGGACACUACUGUUUGACAGUCACAGAGCGCAGUCAAAUCUCCAGGACACUGCUAUGAACCAGAGGACAAACUGACAAGCCAUCCCCAGGAUCGGGGCUCUUAGCUUGGGGGUACUGCCAGCGGAGGAUUUAUGUGAGGCUAUUCAAACCAAUGCUGACCUAUACUUGACCUCUCUCUGUGUGUGUGUGUGUGUGUGUGUGUGUGUGUGUGUGUGUGUGUGUGUGUGUGUGUGUGUGUGUGUGUGUGUGUGUGUGUGUGUGUGUGUGUGUGUUUAGAAGACGGGGUUGCUUGGAGAGUGUUUCUGAAUAGUUCUAUGCUAUUAUAGCUGGAUCAGGGAGAGACAGAUAGUGUGUGUUUGUUAGAGGAUGGAUAGUGCCUAUGUGUUAGUGUGUGUGACUCAGCAGCAGUGAUAAGCUGUUAUGAGCCCUGCUCUGUGUCAGUACAGAGCACUGAGAACACUGUAGCCUAGAUACCUGACAUACAGUGUGUUCUGAAAAUAUUCAGACCCCUUUACUUUUUCCACACGUUACAGCCUUAUUCUAAAAUUGAUUAAAUACUUUCCCCCUCAUCAAUCAACACACAAUACCCCAUAAUGACAAAGCGAAAACAGAUUACAUUUUUUUAAAAUAAAAUAAGUAUUUCCAUAACUAUUCACACCCUUUGCUUUGAGACUCAAAAUUGAGCUCAGGUGCAUCCUAUUUCCAUUGAUCAUACUUGAGAUGUUUCUACAACUUGAUUGGAGUCCACCUGUGGUAAAUUCAGUUGAUUGAACAUGGUUUGGAAAGGCACACACCUGUCUAUAUAAGUUCCCACAGUUGACAGUGCAUGUCAGAGCAAAAACCAAGCCAUGAGGUCUAAGAAAUUGUCUGUAGAGCUACGAGACAGGAUUGUGUCAAGGCACAGAUCUGAGGAAGGGUACCACAAGAUUUCUGCAGCAUUAAUGGACCCCAAGAACACAGUGGCCUCCACUGGCCACCCGGCCAGACUGAGCAGUCGGGGAGAAGGGCCUUGGUCAGGAAGGUGACCAAGAACCCGAUGGUCACUCUGACAGAGCUCCAGAGUUUAUCUGUGGAGGUGGGAGAACCUUCCAGAAGGACAACCAUCUCUGCAUCACUCCCCCAAUCAGGCCUUUAUGGUAGAGUGUCCAGACAGAAGCCUCUCCUCAGUAAAAGGCACAUGAAAGUCUGCUUGGAGAUGGCCAAAAGGUACCCAACGGACUCAGACCAGGAGAAACAAGAUUCUCUGGUCUGAUGAAACCAAGAUUGAACUCUUUGGCCUGAAUGCCAAGCGUCACAUCUGGAGGAAACCUGGCACCAUCCCUACGGUGAAGCAUGGUGGUGGCAGCAUCAUGCUGUGGGGAUGUUUUCAGUGACAUGGACUGAGAGACUAGUCAGGAUCAAGGGAAAGAGGAAUGAAGAAGUACAGAGAGAUCCUUGAUGAAAACCUGCUCCAGAGCACUCAGGACCUCAGACAGGGGUGAAAGUUCACCUUCUAAAAGGACAAUGACCCUAAGCACACAGACAACGCAGGAGUGGCUUCGAGACAAGUCUCUGAAUGUCCUUGAGUGGGCCAGCCAGAGCCCAAACUUGAACCUGAUCGAUCAUCUCUGAAGAAACCUGAAAAUAGCUGAGGAACGACGCUCCCCGUCCAACCUGAGAGCUUGAGAGGAUCUGCAGAGAAGAAUGGGAGAAACUCCCCAAAUACAAGUGUGCCAAGCUUGUGGUGCCAUACUCAAGAAGACUCGAAGCUGUAAUCGCGGCCGAAGGUGCUUCAACAAGUAAAGGGUCUGAAUACUUAUGUAAAUGUCAUAUAUCAGUUUUAGUUACAUUUUUUCUGAAAAAAAUUCUACAAUUCCGUUUUUGCUGUGUCAUUAUGGGGUGUUGUGUGUAGAUUGAUGAGGGGGAAAAAAUUAUUGAAUUCAUUUUAGAACAAGGCUGUAACGUAACGAGAUGUGGAAGAAGUCAAGGGGUCUGAAUGCUUUCCGAAUGCACUGUACCUGUCUGUGUACUGCACAGUCUGCACCCCAUGGCCUCUUAAGAUUGACAGCUUGAUUUUGGAUUGUGUUACACACAAUUACAAACUCAUACACACAAGUGUGCCUGCACACACACACAUACACACACACAGGUACAUAUACUCAUUGUGUGUGAUGAAGGACUGGUUAGUGAGGACUGUGUCUGUUUUGUAGUGCUGUGUCUGUUUUGAGAGGAAGUUCAUUGGCCAGCAUGGCUUUGAUGGACAGGUGGCAGAGUCCACUUGAGCAACACUGACUUUCACCCUGAGCCCACCCCUUGCUUUACCAUUGCCAUUGGAAACAUGAUGAAGAGGAGGAAGGAGAGGCCAGGAGCUCCCGACCUGCGCAUGCAAAUCUGGCCGGCCGCUCAGCACCGCUGCCAUGGCAACAGCAGCCUCCUGCAGCACCUGCUCUCUCCCACCUCACUCCCUCCCUCCUUCCACACCUCCUCCUCCCAGCCCUCCCUCCUCCUCUACUCCACCUCUGCCCACCCAGAGGGCCCACUGUCAGCCCCUGUCCACCAGGUGGGAAACCCCUUCCUCUGGAGGUUAUGUGGUGGAGAAAUGUGGCUGCAACUAUAAAGAGGAUCUGAAGAUAGUUAAGUCAAAGCUGAAUGAAGACAAGGCCUCAAACCGAUUAAGAAAAAAGUGUACAUAUUUAAUAGGUAUAUUUAAUAAUAAAAAAAAAAUGUUUAAGCGUAUAAUUUCUUCUUUGAUGAUACAGCUACAGUUAGAACAUUUAGGAAAUAAAAUGUACAGUAGUCCACUGGUGACACAGUAGUAAAACAACAAGAUGUCAAUAGUGAUUUCGAAAAGGCAAAAAGAAGUGAAUGUUUUCAAUAGUAAUUCAAAAGGGUUUACGUAGGAAAUGAAAAAGGAGCAGGGGCAAUUCACUUGUGAUUAGUGGUGACACAACACUACACACACAGAUGGCAUGGCACUAGUAAUUCAAUAGGGAUCGAUUAGACACACAGCAGUGAUGUGUAGGCAUUGUGUAGUAAUUCAAUAGUGAACAUGUAGGAACUGUGUAGGUUUGGAGUUGUAGAUACCCAAAAUCUCAGUAGGUACACAGUAGUCAUUAAGGGAGAAUUAUUUAGUGAUUUAAGUAGGACAUAUGUAGUGUUCACCAGUAGUGAAGCGUCCCAAUUUAUCACCCAUUACUACAUAAAUUAUUACAUAAAUCGGUGUUGUGUAGAUCAAAGGAGCUGAUGUGGACUACAGGAAAUGGAAGGAAGAGUACGCCCCCCAUACUCAUCGACACACGGCUGUAGUGGAGCGAAUCAAGAGCUUCAAGUUCCUCGGUGUCCACAACACUAAGGAAUUAUCAUUGUCCACACACUCCAAGACAGUUGUGAAGAGGGCAUGAUAAAGCUUCUUCCUCCUCAGGAAGCUAAAAAGAUUUGGCAUGACCCUCAAAAAGUUCUACAGCUGCACCAUUGUGAGUCAUCUUGAUUACGGCAACUGCUUGACAUCCAACCUCAAGGCGCUACAGAGGGUAGUGAAUAUGGCCCAGUACAUUACUAGGGCAGACGUCCCUGCCAUCCAGGCGCUCUAUGCCAGUUGGUGUCAGAGGGAGGCCCUAAAAAUUGUCAAAGACUCCAACCACCCAAGUCAUAGACUGUUCUCUCUGCUACCUCACAGCAAGCAGUUCCGAUGCACCAAGUCUGGAACCAACAGGACCCUGAUUAACUUCUACCCCUAAGCCAGAAGACUGCUAAAUGAGUUAGUCCAGGUAGCUAUUGGCAGUGGUGGAAAAAGUACCCACUUUUUGAAGCUUGAGUCAUACUUGAGUGAAAGUAAAUGACUCAAGUAAUGGCUCAUUUUCAUGUUUAUUUAAUUUACAGAUAGAUGGGCACGCUCCAACACUAAGAUAUAAUUUACAAACGAGGCAUGUGCUUAGUGAGUCCGCCAGAUCAGAGGCAGUAGGGAUGACCAGGGAUGUUCUCUUGAGAAGUGUGUGAAUUAGACAAUUUCCUGUCUUGCUAAGCAUUCAAAGUGUAACAAGUAGCAAUUAGGGGAGCUCACACAGUAUCUGCAUUGACCCUUUUUGACUCAUCACAUAGGCUGCUGCUACUGUUUAUUAUCUAUCUUGUUGCUUAGUCACUAUAACCAUACCUAUAUGUACAUAUAGGUGGCAGGUAGCCUAGCGGUUAAAGCGUUGGACUGAUAACCAGGAAGGUUGCUAGAUCGAAUCCCCGAGCUGACAAGGUAAAAAUCUGUUGUUCUGCCCCUGAACAAGGCAGUUAACCCACUGUUCCUAGGCUGUCAUUGUAAAUAAGAAUUUGUUCUUAACUGACUUGCCUAGUUAAAUUAAGGUAAAAUAAAAUAAUAUCUACCUCAAUUACCUUGUACCCCUGCACAUUGACUCAGUACUGGUGCAUAUGGCCAAGUUAUCAUUACUCAUUGUGUAUUUAGUUCUCUUUUUAUAAUUUGUUCUAUUAUUUCUCAUUUUUUUCACUCUGCAUUGUUGGAUAGGGCCGGUAAGCAUUUUAAUGUUAGUCUACACCUGUUGUUUACGAAGCAUGUGAAAAAUAACAUUUGAUUUGAUUCGAUACGGCCUACCUGUAUGCAGUGGAGGUUGCAGGAUCGGAUGGAAAGCAUGAUCUGUCUGUAACCUUUCUCGUCCUCACAAAUAUCGGAAUUCAUUUGCCAGAAUGUUACAUCUUCACCCCAUAAGUAUUGAUGUUACAGCUAUCUUUAGGCAUACGGUGCCUUUGGAAAGUAUUCAGACCCCUUGACUUUUUCCACAUUUUGCUACGUGACAGCCUUAUUCUGAAAUGUAUUAAAUUGUUUUUGUCCUCAUCAAUCUACACACAAUAACCCAUAAUGACAAAGCAAAAACAGGUUUCAAGAAAUGUUUUGCUAAUAAAAAAAAUAUAAAAAAUAAUACAUAAGUAUUCAGACCCUUUACUCAGUACCUGUGGCAACGAUUACAGCUUCGAGUCUUCUUGGGUAUGAAGCUACAAGCUUGGCACACCUGUAUUUUGGGAGUUUCUCCCAUUCUUCUCUGCAGAUGCCCUCAAGCUCUGUCAGGUUGGAUGGGGAGCGUUACUGUACAGCUAUUUUCAGGUCUCUCCAGAGAUGUUAGAUCGGGUUCAAGUCCGGGCUCUUGCUUGGCCACUCACUUACAUUCAGAUUCCUGCAUCGUCUUGGCUGUGUGCUUAGGGUCGUUGUCAAAUCAAAUCAAAUGUAUUUAUAUAGCCCUUCUUACAUCAGCUGAAAUAUCAAAGUGCUGUACAGAAACCCAGCCUAAAACCACAAACAGCAAGCAAUGCAGGUGUAGAAGCACAGUGGCUAGGAAAAACUCCCUAGAAAGGCCAAAACCUAGGAAGAAACCUAGAGAGGAACCAGGCUAUGAGGGGUGGCCAGUCCUCUUCUGGCUGUGCCGGGUGGAGAUUAUAACAGAACAUGGCCAAGAUGUUCAAAUGUUCAUAAAUGACCAGCAUGGUCAAAUAAUAAUAAUCACAGUAGUUGUUGAGGGUGCAGCAAGUCAGCACCUCAGGAGUAAAUGUCAGUUGAGUUUUCAUAGCCGAUCAUUGAGAGUAUCUCUACCGCUCCUGCUGUCUCCAGAGAGUUGAAAACAGCAGGUCUGGGACAGGUAGUACGUCCGGUGAACAGGUCAGGGUUCCAUAGCCGCAGGAAGAAUAGUUGAAACUGGAGCAGCAGCACGGCCAGGUGGACUGAGGACAGCAAGGAGUCAUCAUGCCAGGUAGUCCUGAGGUAUGGUCCUAGGGCUCAGGUCCUCCUCCUCCGAGAGAGAAUUAGAGAGAGCAUACUUAAGUUCACACAGGACACCGGAUAAGACAGGAGAAAUACUCCAGAUAUAACAGACUGACCCUAGCCCCCCGACACAUAAACUAUUGCAGCAUAAAUACUGGAGGCUGAGACAGGAGGGUCAGGAGACACUGUGGCCCCAUCUGAUGAUACCCCCGGACAGGGCCAAACAGGCAGGAUAUAACCACACACACUUUGCCAAAGCACAGCCCUCACAGCACUAGAGGGAUAUCUUUAACCACCAACUUACCAUCCUGAGACAAGGCCGAGUAUAGCCCACAAAGAGCUCCGCCACGGCACAACCCAAGGGGGGAGGUGAACCUUCGCCCCAGUCUGAGGUCCUGAGCGCUCUGGAGCAGGUUUUCAUCAAGGAUCUCUCUGUACAUUGCUCCAUUCAUCUUUCCCUCGAUCCUCACUAGUCUCCUGGUCCCUGCCGCAGAAAAACAUCCACACAGCAUGAUGCUGCCACCACCAUGCUUUACCGUAGGGAUGGUGCCAGAUUUCCUCCAGACGUGACGCUUGGCAUUCAGGCCGAAGAGUUCAAUCUUGCUUUCAUCAGCCCCUUA